ensembl:lncRNA
CAGGAGGAGAGCAGGAGGACAAGCAGAGGCUGAGGUGAGAGGGUAGGACAGACAGUGUGGAAGGGAAUGGUUGGGCCCUGGGCAGGGAGACAGGAGUGUCUGUCAUGAAAAAGACUCUGUGUCCUCCUCCUUUGUCUUCGAGGGCCAGAGGCCCAGAGAAGAACGUCAUGAGACCAUGGAAACCUCCUUUCCUCUGCUACUGAGCUGGAGAGAUGUUUCACCUUCCACAGAGACAUCGGUACAAAGAUACGUAAUCAAAAUAACAAUAGCCUGGCUGUAAUUUGCAUAUCAGCUGCUGGCAGCUGCCUUGGUGAUGACGUGGGUAUGUCACACCAGGCAGAUCAGUGGCAGUUCCCUGUUUCACACAGGCAUUGGCGUCAUGGCCAUCAUAUGGAGAUCAUAGAAAGAGCUGUACCCCUCUGACAGCUCAAACCAGAGGAGAGUAGGAUGGUAAGUAGAGGCAGAGGUGAGAGGGCAGGACAGAGGACGUGGAAAGGAAGGGCUGGGCCCUGGGCAAGGAGACAGGGGUGGCUGUGAUGCAACCAAUUAUGUUUCCUCCUCCUUUGUCUACGGGCCUGAGGCCCAGUGGAGAACGUGAGCAGACCAUGGAAACCUCCUGUCUUCUGCUGCACAGCUGGAGAGAUGUUCCACCUUCCACAGAGACAUCAGUACAAAGAUACGUCAUCAAAAUAACACCAGCCUGGCUGUAAUUUCUGCAUCAGCUGCUGGAAACUGCCUUGAUAAUGCUGUGGUCAUGUCACAGCCGGCAGAACAUUGGCAGUUCCCUGUUUCACACAGGCACUGGUGACUUGGUUGGUGUAGGGAGAUCAUGGAAAGAGCUGCAACCCCUGUCCCAGCCCAGACCAGCAGAAAGCAGGAUGGUGAUCAGUGGCAGAGGUAAGAGGGCAGGACAGAGGACAUGGAAGGGAAGGGCUGGGCCCUGGGCAGGGAUGCAGGGGUGGCUAUGAUGCAACAGAUUGUGUGUCCUCCUCCAUUGUCUUUGAGGGCCUGAGGCCCAGAGGAGAACAUGAGACCAUGGAACCCUCCUGUCCUCUGCUGCUCAGCUGGAGCGAUGUUCCACCUUUCACAGAGACAUCAGUGCAAAGAUAUGUAAUCAAACUAACACCAGGCUGGCUGUAAUUUGGGCAUCAGCUGCUGGCAACUGCCUCGGUGAUGCUGUGGUCAUGUCACAGCUGGCAGAACAUUGGCAGUUCCCUGUUUCACACAGGCACUGGUGACUUGGUUGGCGUAGGGAGAUCAUGGAAAGAGCUGCAACCUUCUGCCAGCUGAGGCCAUUGGAUAGUUGGAGGAUGGUGAAACACUGUGAUGAGAAGACAUGAAGCACAGUGAGAGAGGGAAAUGAAUGGUUAUACCUCUCUGGGCUGGGAGGUAUGUGUGAUUGUGAUGCAACAGGUUAUGUGCUCUCUUCCUUUGUCUUUGAGGACCAGGUGCCCACAGGAGAACAUUAUCAAAGCAUGGAACCUUCUUGUUCUUAGUCAUUCAGCUAGAGAGGUGUUCUACCUUGUACCUGGGUAUUCAUAUAAAGCUAAAUAAUCAAAAUAACUGCAGUGUCCAUGUUACAUUGGGCAGCCAGCUGGUGGUAGCCCAUGUCAGUGUUAUUCAGUGACAUGGGCCAGCCCAGGACAGGUGUCCUCUGGCUGCCAGGAGAGACAGAACUGAUAGACUGGGACUGAGCCACAGGUACCUCCUCCCCACACCCUCUUCAGCCACUCGGACUGAGGUUUCUGCAGCCAUCUGUGAAGGCAUGAACCUAAGGACCAGAAAACACAGCCCCAGACUGUACCUCACCAUGGCCUCACAGACAGAUGGAGACUCCCAACAGCUCUGGACAAGUGAAGAUCUACACCACCUGCUUUCUCACAAUAAAAUCAUCUGAUUCAUAAAUGCAUUAGCUGGUUCUCCUGCUUGUAUUGUCUCUUUGAGAAAUCUUGUGGGACUUUCCUUGUUAUCCUGAUUUUCUUAGUGAUCUGUAUAAAUAUAAUGUUUACUCUGAGCAGCUGUUCCCUGCAGCCCAUGGACACCACAGGGAGCAGGUCUGUAUGUGCAGCCAUGGAUGAGCCCACAGCGCAGCAGUGGAUGAGGCCUGGAGGAGGAACAGCUCAUGGAUACCCCUGCAGGAGCAGCCCCAGGCCAGAGCUGCAGCACCUGGAGAAGAGCCCAUGGUGGGCCAGGAGGGCUGGGGAAGCUGCUGCCCAUGGGGAUGUGCUGGAGCAGUGCCUGAAGGGUGGGCCCAUGGGAUGGAGACAUGCUGGAGCAAUGCUGGGAGAGCUGCAGCUUGUGGGACGCCCACAUGGGAUCAAGUGAGGAAGGAUG